GACGAACGCUGGCGGUGUGCUUAACACAUGCAAGUCGAACGGAAAGGCCCUGCUUUUGUGGGGUGCUCGAGUGGCGAACGGGUGAGUAACACGUGAGUAACCUGCCCUUGACUUUGGGAUAACUUCAGGAAACUGGGGCUAAUACCGGAUAGGAGCUCCUGCUGCAUGGUGGGGGUUGGAAAGUUUCGGCGGUUGGGGAUGGACUCUCGGCUUAUCAGCUUGUUGGUGGGGUAGUGGCUUACCAAGGCUUUGACGGGUAGCCGGCCUGAGAGGGUGACCGGCCACAUUGGGACUGAGAUACGGCCCAGACUCCUACGGGAGGCAGCAGUGGGGAAUAUUGCACAAUGGGCGGAAGCCUGAUGCAGCAACGCCGCGUGCGGGAUGACGGCCUUCGGGUUGUAAACCGCUUUCGCCUGUGACGAAGCGUGAGUGACGGUAAUGGGUAAAGAAGCACCGGCUAACUACGUG
rnacentral:rRNA from 1 species